UUAAUUGAAGCCAAAAUAGAGGCACUUCACUGUUAAUGAAUUAACUGAUAUUAUUAUCCAAUUAAA
rnacentral:tRNA from 1 species